rnacentral:rRNA from 1 species
CCGACUCCUACGGGAGGCAGCAGUAGGGAAUCUUCGGCAAUGGACGAAAGUCUGACCGAGCAACGCCGCGUGAGUGAAGAAGGUUUUCGGAUCGUAAAACUCUGUUGGUAGAGAAGAACGUUGGUGAGAGUGGAAAGCUCAUCAAGUGACGGUAACUACCCAGAAAGGGACGGCUAACUACGUGCCACCAGCCGCGGUAAUACGUAGGUCCCGAGCGUUGUCCGGAUUUAUUGGGCGUAAAGCGAGCGCAGGUGGUUUAUUAAGUCUGGUGUAAAAGGCAGUGGCUCACCCAUUGUAUGCAUUGGAAACUGGUAGACUUGGGUGCAGGAAAGGAGAGUGGAAUUCCAUGUGUAGCGGUGA